AUUGAACGCUGGCGGCAGGCCUAACACAUGCAAGUCGAACGAGUGGCGGACGGGUGAGUAAUGUCUGGGAAACUGCCUGAUGGAGGGGGCUAACUACUGGAAACGGUAGCUAAUACAGCAUACCAUCGGAUGUGCCCAGAUGGGAUUAGCUCGUAGGUGGGGGAAAGGCUCACCUAGGCGACGAUCCCUAGCUGGUCUGAUCGGAUGACCAGCAACACUGGAACUGAGACACGGUCCAGACCCCUAAGGGAGGCAGCAGUGGGGAAGAUUGCAAAAUGGGCGCAAGCCUGAUGCAGCAAUGCCGCGUGUAUGAAGAAGGCCUUCGGGUUGUAAAGUACUUGCAGCGGGGAGGCGUUACCCGCAGAAGAAGCACCGGCUAACUCCGUGCCAGCAGCCGCGGUAAUUC
rnacentral:rRNA from 1 species